CGUUCAAAAUCUUGAAUCUUUCCCUCACGGUACUCAAUGUGCGUUCAAAUCUUGAAUCUUUCCCUCACGGUACUCGCAUCUUUCCCUCACGGUACUACUCAAUGUGCGUUCAAAAUCUUGAAUCAUUCCCUCACGGUACCGCAUCUUUCCCUCACGGUACUCAGUGUGUGUUCAAAAUCUUGCAUCUUUCCCUCGCGGUACUAUCAAUGUGCGUUCAAAAUCUUUGCAUCUUUCCCUCACGGUACUAUACAAUGUGCGUUCAAAAUCUUG
rnacentral:misc_RNA from 1 species